rnacentral:rRNA from 1 species
CCGCACGCGCGCUACACUGAUGCAUUCAGCGAGUGUUUCCUGGCUCGAAGGAGUUGGGUAAUCUUGUGAGUAUGCAUCGUGAUGGGGAUUGACGAUUGUAAUUAUUUGUCAUGAACGAGGAAUUCCUAGUAAGCACGAGUCAUCAGCUCGUGCUGAUUACGU